UUCCUUUAAACAAUGAAGAAGGUUUUGAGAAACCUCUCUUGACAGAUCCUGCUUGAAAGAUCCUGCUCAGCUGACUUUGAGGCCUUUGAGAUGAGACUGACCCAGCUGAAUUCCUUAUUCCGGGUUCUGCCGUGGAUUUUUAGUCUUGGAGAGAAGGAGCAUGGCCUGCCUUUCAUGGUUGAGGGCCUGCGGCUCAGAGAUGCAGGGAUUUGCUCUAGAAGAGCAGCAGAGUCCACCUUCUGGGACACCGAGGAUUGCUGCUCUUCCAUUAUACCAAGGAUGGACAAACUGGCCUGUGGGCCCUUGCAGCUGAAGAUAGUUUUAACCUUUUUAAAGGGCUGAAGAAAUGAGAAGGAGGAGGUGGAGAAGAAGAGGACUAUGCAAGAGAGAGCUUCAGUGGCCUGCAAGAGUAAAAUAUCUACUAUUUGAUCUUUUACAGAAAAAGUUUGCUAACCUCUGAAUUAAUACCAUUAAAAAAAAAUUCAGUUUCUCUGCCUGGAAAA
rnacentral:lncRNA from 1 species